GGUUCUCCAACCCCAGAACCUUCAUUAUUUUCAGAACUUUAGCCAUAAGCCCAUGCAUAAGUCUUCAUACUGGAUUUCAUUUUUUGCAGGUGAAAAGUCUUCAUUUCCAUUCAAAGCCAUAAAUAAGCUUUGCUCCUUGGACUCUUCCAUGGCUUCUAGCGAUGAUGGUUAACCACAGGAACUGACCGAUCAUACACUGAGAGGUAUUUAUAUCUACCCAGUGGUAGGCUGGAGAGCAAGGCGGGCUGAACUGUCAGUAACCCACCGAGCUAGCAGAACUACCGAGUCUGCUCAUACACCUUGUGAGAAGUUUCCUGGCAUCUCCAAGGCAUGACGUUCCUUUUCAAGCCCAGCACAAGCUUUCAGGGUGAAGGAGGGGAAAUGGCUGCCACAUCACUUUGCCAACCACUUGAAAUGUGCUCAGAGGAUCUGGUCCUGAGUUUUCUCUUUCUCCCUCAAACAAAAUGUCAUCUCUCUCAUUGUUGACUCCUUGGCCAAGAAUUUCAUUUUUAACAGUAAUAAAUUCCGCUAUAGACCCCCUUCUUUCCAAAGGUUUUCUCCAUGAAAAAGCAACUCAUUCUCCUGUGUGCUUUCAGAUAAAUAAAAUUGGCCUGAACAAAAUAA